AUGACUGAUAAUGGCAGCAACGGUACGAGUCGUGAUGGAAAUAAUUCGGGCAAUACAAAUGCUGGAUUAUUGGUCCAAGAACUUGGUGACCAGAGUGUGCUGGCCAAUCUGCUCACUAACAUUUUGGGCAGACAGCAAGAGACUCAACAACGUCAAAUGGAUAUUCUGGAGCGCGUUGUAAAGAAUGAUAGCCACCGGAGUGGAGUUGGGGAAUUUCAAAAACUCAAGCCGCCCUCAUUCUCCGGGACUGCUAAUCCGCUUGAAGCGGAAGACUGGAUCACCGCUAUGGAGAAAGCAUUUGAGGCUAUGGGCUGCACCAACGAAGAGAAAGUCAUUUAUGCAGUUUAUAUGCUAAAAUCAAGCGCUUUUGAAUGGUGGGACGCUCACAAAAAGUCUUACCCGGAGGGUACUCCCCUGACAUGGAUAUUGUUCAAAGAGGCGUUCUAUAAAAAGUAUUUUCCAGAAAGCAUCAAACGCAUCAAAGAAAGGGAGUUUCUUGAGCUUAAACAAGGGAACAAAUCUGUAGGAGAAUAUGAAAUUGAAUUCUCUAGACUUGCAAGAUUUGCUCCAGAGUUCGUCCAGAUUGAUGGCUCCAAGGCUGGACGCUUCGAGAGCGGUCUACGUCAACCACUUAAGCGGCGUGUGAAAGCCUUUGAGUUAAAUACUUUUAGAGAUGUGGUGAAUAAAGCCCAGUUGUUGGAAAAGGGAUUUCAAGAGGAAAGGGGUGAUGCUGAACAGGUGGUCGCCCAGAACGAACCAGAGGCAACUCAUUUGGGAGUAUGCCAAGGAGAUGCCCAAUCUGUAACGGGAAUCAUACACCAAAUAUUUGUCCAGAUCGUUGGGGGAAGUGUUACGCAUGUGGAAAGCCGGGACACACUCGGACUUCGUCCAAAUAAUCGAGAGAAGCCUCACGGAGGGAACCAAGCUAGAGUAUUCAAUCUAACUCGGAAGAAUGUUGAGGAGUCCAACAACGUGGUGACAGAGUGCGCGGGAAGUGGGCAUGGUGAGGAGUUAGAGGAGCAUGAGGAAUAA
rnacentral:rRNA from 1 species